CUAUACAUGCAAGUCGAGCGGACAGAUGGGAGCUUGCUCCCUGAUGUUAGCGGCGGACGGGUGAGUAACACGUGGGUAACCUGCCUGUAAGACUGGGAUAACUCCGGGAAACCGGGGCUAAUACCGGAUGCUUGUUUGAACCGCAUGGUUCAAACAUAAAAGGUGGCUUCGGCUACCACUUACAGAUGGACCCGCGGCGCAUUAGCUAGUUGGUGAGGUAAUGGCUCACCAAGGCAACGAUGCGUAGCCGACCUGAGAGGGUGAUCGGCCACACUGGGACUGAGACACGGCCCAGACUCCUACGGGAGGCAGCAGUAGGGAAUCUUCCGCAAUGGACGAAAGUCUGACGGAGCAACGCCGCGUGAGUGAUGAAGGUUUUCGGAUCGUAAAGCUCUGUUGUUAGGGAAGAACAAGUGCCGUUCAAAUAGGGCGGCACCUUGACGGUACCUAACCAGAAAGCCACGGCUAACUACGUGCCAGCAGCCGCGGUAAUACGUAGGUGGCAAGCGUUGUCCGGAAUUAUUGGGCGUAAAGGGCUCGCAGGCGGUUUCUUAAGUCUGAUGUGAAAGCCCCCGGCUCAACCGGGGAGGGUCAUUGGAAACUGGGGAACUUGAGUGCAGAAGAGGAGAGUGGAAUUCCACGUGUAGCGGUGAAAUGCGUAGAGAUGUGGAGGAACACCAGUGGCGAAGGCGACUCUCUGGUCUGUAACUGACGCUGAGG
rnacentral:rRNA from 1 species